rnacentral:rRNA from 1 species
CAGCUUGUUGGUGAGGUAACGGCUCACCAAGGCGACGACGGGUAGCUGGUCUGAGAGGACGAUCAGCCACACUGGGACUGAGACACGGCCCAGACUCCUACGGGAGGCAGCAGCAGGGAAUAUUGCGCAAUGGGCGAAAGCCUGACGCAGCGACGCCGCGUGGGGGAUGAAGGCCUUCGGGUUGUAAACCCCUUUCAGGAGGGAAGAAAUUGACGGUACCUCCAAAAGAAGCCCCGGCCAACUACGUGCCAGCAGCCGCGGUAAGACGUAGGGGGCGAGCGUUGUCCGGAAUCAUUGGGCGUAAAGGGCUCGUAGGCGGCUCGGUAAGUCGAUCGUGAAAUCCCGGAGCUCAACUCCGGAACUGCGGUCGAUACUGUCGUGGCUAGAGUCAGGUAGAGGAGAGUAGAAUUCCCGGUGUAGCGGUGGAAUGCGCAGAUAUCGGGAGGAAUACCAUUUAGCGAAGGCGGCUCUCUGGGCCUGUACUGACGCUGAGGAGCGAAAGCGUGGGUAGCAAACAGGAUUAGAUACCCUGGUAGUCCACGCCGUAAACGUUGGGCACUAGACGUGGUGGCCUGACCAAGGGCUGCUGUGUCGACGCUAACGCAUUAAGUGCCCCGCCUGGGGAGUACGG